GUGGGGAAUCUUGCGCAAUGGGCGAAAGCCUGACGCAGCCAUGCCGCGUGAAUGAUGAAGGUCUUCGGAUUGUAAAAUUCUUUCACCGGGGACGAUAAUGACUGUACCCGGAGAAGCAGCUCCGGCUAACUUCGUGCCAGCAGCCGCGGUAAUACGAAGGGGGGUAGCGUUGCUCGGCAUUACUGGGCGUAAAGGGCGCGUAGGCGGACAGUUUAGUCAGAGGUGAAAGCCCAGGGCUCAACCUUGGAAUUGCCUUUGAUACUGGCUGUCUUGAGUACGUGAGAGGUGAGUGGAACUCCGUGUGUAGAGGUUAAAUUCGUAGAUAUUCGUAAGAACACCAGUGACGAAGGCGACUCACUGGCCCAAUACUGACGCUGAGGCGCGAAAGCGUGGGGAGCAAACAGGAUUAGAAACCCCGGUAGUCC
rnacentral:rRNA from 1 species